rnacentral:lncRNA from 1 species
UGGACGCACUUCAGACAUCGGUGACUGGGCUUCAGGCAUCGGUGAUAGAGCUCUCCACUACACAUAGCAGAGCCACCACGUCUAUCAUCGCACAGCUUGGCCAUGUGACAGAUGCAGUCACCCUCCUCAUGGAGCAGAGCCGAUUGAGAGGAGGAGCCACAUCCUCGAGAGGAGGAGCCACAUCCUCCAGAGGAGGAGAUGCAUCCUCGAGAGGGGGAGCCUCAUCCUCGAGGAGGCCAUAGAUGUUUUUGUGUUUUGUCUUGUUUUACUUUACUUAUUGUAUUCUCAAAUGUAUUCACAUUCAUAUCAAUACAAUGAGUAGACAUUUUAUCUUCAAUUAUGUGCCAUUUGAUGUGCCAUUUGUUGAUUGUGCCAUUGAUUGUGUGUGAUUACCUCCUUUUUGGUAUGAUGACAAAAAGG